GUCUCCUACGGGGGGCAGCAGUCGGGAAUAUUGCGCAAUGGAGGAAACUCUGACGCAGUGACGCCGCGUAUAGGAAGAAGGUUUUCGGAUUGUAAACUAUUGUCGUUAGGGAAGAUAAAAGACUGUACCUAAGGAGGAAGCCCCGGCUAACUAUGUGCCAGCAGCCGCGGUAAUACAUAGGGGGCAAGCGUUAUCCGGAAUUACUGGGUGUAAAGGGAGCGUAGGCGGCCUGGCAAGCCUGAUGUGAACUACCGGGGCCCAACCCCGGGGCUGCAUUGGGAACUGCCAGGCUGGAGUGCCGGAGG
rnacentral:rRNA from 1 species